GACGAACGCUGGCGGCGUGCUUAACACAUGCAAGUCGAGCGGUAAGGCCCUUCGGGGUACACGAGCGGCGAACGGGUGAGUAACACGUGGGUGACCUGCCCUCCACUUCGGGAUAAGCCUGGGAAACUGGGUCUAAUACCGGAUAGGACCUCCUGGUGCAUGCCGGGUGGUGGAAAGUUUUUUCGGUGGGGGAUGGGCCCGCGUCUAUCAGCUUGAUGGUGGGGUGAUGGCCUACCAAGGCGACGACGGAUAGCCGGCCUGAGAGGGUGAUCGGCCACACUGGGACUGAGACACGGCCCAGACUCCUACGGGAGGCAGCAGUGGGGAAUCUUGCGCAAUGGGCGGAAGCCUGACGCAGCAACGCCGCGUGAGGGAUGACGGCCUUCGGGUUGUAAACCUCUUUCGCGAUCGACGAAGGUCCAUCUUGCUGGUGGGCUGACGGUAGGUCGAGAAGAAGCACCGGCCAACUACGUGCCAGCCGCCGCCGUAAUAC
rnacentral:rRNA from 1 species